AAGACACAAAAUGGCUGCCGGCAGCUUCGUCACGUGACCCCUUUGUGCCUUUCGGGCCCCCGAACUCCGCGGGACCCGGGUCGGGCAGAUCCUCACAGCGGAAAACCGGCAGCGGCUUCGAGGCGUCUAGCGCCCGCGCCCGAAACGACAGUUUACUCAUCUCAGGCGCAGCAGAUACCUCUCCGCUCUGGGGAAACGGCCCCGGCCAGCGGGAUCAUGGAGAACCGGGGGUUCGGUCCCCACUCGCCAACCGCUGCCGGGGACUUGAGGGGCGGAGCGCAGAGCCCGCCGUCCGGGCACUAACACCAGCCGGGAGGGUGGGAGGCUGUGCCGCUCCGCUCCUCUCUCGCUCGCUCUCUUCAAUACGCCAUGGCCAACAUGGCGGACAUUAAAACUCCACUGUGCGCUCUUCAGCCAACCCCAG
rnacentral:lncRNA from 1 species